UACAGAGGUGGCAAGCGUUGUUCGGAAUUACUGGGCGUAAAGGGCGCGUAGGCGGCCAUCUAAGUCAGACGUGAAAUUCCUCGGCUUAACCGGGGAACUGCGUCUGAUACUGGAUGGCUUGAGUUCGGGAGAGGGAUGCGGAAUUCCAGGUGUAGCGGUGAAAUGCGUAGAUAUCUGGAGGAACACCGGUGGCGAAGGCGGCAUCCUGGACCGAUACUGACGCUGAGGAGCGAAAGCCAGGGGAGCAAACGGG
rnacentral:rRNA from 1 species